rnacentral:rRNA from 1 species
CUACGGAGGGAACAAGCGUUAUUCGGAAUCACUGGGCGCAAAGGACGCGUAGGCGGGUUAUUAAGUCGGGUGUGAAAUCCAAUGGCUCAACCAUUGAACUGCAUUCGAAACUGAUAACCUAGAGUAUGGAAGGGGCAGGUGGAAUUAGUGGUGUAGGGGUAAAAUCCGUAGAUAUCUCUAGGAAUACCGAAAGCGAAGGCGACCUGCUGGGACAUUACUGACGCUGAGGCGUGAAAGCGUGGGGAGCAAACAGGAUUAGAAACCCUAGUAGUCC